rnacentral:rRNA from 1 species
UAAAGUUGUUGCGGUUAAAAAGCUCGUAGUCGGAGGUGUGUCUCGGACGGUCGGUUCGCCGCUUGUCGGUGCUCAACUGGCCGGUCCGGACGUCCUGCCGGUGGGGCCGCGAGGCUCCGUUAUCCUUCUUUGGUCCUCUUCACCGAGUGCCUUGGUGGGCCGGCACGUUUACUUUGAACAAAUUAGAGUGCUCAAAGCAGGCCGUUGGUCGCCUGAAUACUGUGUGCAUGGAAUAAUGGAAUAGGACCUCGGUUCCAUUUUGUUGGUUUUCAGAACUCGAGGUAAUGAUUAAUAGGGACGGACGGGGGCAUUCGUAUUGCGACGUUAGAGGUGAAAUUCUUGGAUCGUCGCAAGACGAACCGAUGCGAAAGCAUUUGCCAAGAACGUUUUCGUUGAUCAAGAACGAAAGUUAGAGGUUCGAAGGCGAUCAGAUACCGCCCUAGUUCUAACCAUAAACGAUGCCAGCUAGCCAUCCGCCGAAGUUCCUUCUAUGACUCGGCGGGCAGCUUCCGGGAAACCAAAGCUCUUGGGUUCCGGGGGAAGUAUGGUUGCAAA